rnacentral:rRNA from 1 species
GUGGGGAAUUUUGGACAAUGGGCGCAAGCCUGAUCCAGCAAUGCCGCGUGUGUGAAGAAGGCCUUCGGGUUGUAAAGCACUUUUGUCCGGAAAGAAAUGGCCUGGGUUAAUACCCCGGGUCGAUGACGGUACCGGAAGAAUAAGCACCGGCUAACUACGUGCCAGCAGCCGCGGUAAUACGUAGGGUGCGAGCGUUAAUCGGAAUUACUGGGCGUAAAGCGUGCGCAGGCGGUGAUGCAAGACAGAUGUGAAAUCCCCGGGCUCAACCUGGGAACUGCAUUUGUGACUGCAUGGCUAGAGUGCGUCAGAGGGGGGUGGAAUUCCGCGUGUAGCAGUGAAAUGCGUAGAGAUGCGGAGGAACACCGAUGGCGAAGGCAGCCCCCUGGGAUGACACUGACGCUCAUGCACGAAAGCGUGGGGAGCAAACAGGAUUAGAAACCCUAGUAGUCC